GACGAACGCUGGCGGCGUGCCUAAUACAUGCAAGUUGAGCGCUGAAGGUUGGUACUUGUACCAACUGGAUGAGCAGCGAACGGGUGAGUAACGCGUGGGGAAUCUGCCUUUGAGCGGGGGACAACAUUUGGAAACGAAUGCUAAUACCGCAUAAAAACUUUAAACACAAGUUUUAAGUUUGAAAGAUGCAAUUGCAUCACUCAAAGAUGAUCCCGCGUUGUAUUAGCUAGUUGGUGAGGUAAAGGCUCACCAAGGCGAUGAUACGUAGCCGACCUGAGAGGGUGAUCGGCCACAUUGGGACUGAGACACGGCCCAAACUCCUACGGGAGGCAGCAGUGGGGAAUCUUCGGCAAUGGACGAAAGUCUGACCGAGCAACGCCGCGUGAGUGAAGAAGGUUUUCGGAUCGUAAAACUCUGUUGGUAGAGAAGAACGUUGGUGAGAGUGGAAAGCUCAUCAAGUGACGGUAACUACCCAGAAAGGGACGGCUAACUACGUG
rnacentral:rRNA from 1 species